GAUAGCCAAAGAUGAUAAAUGGAUUGAGAGUAGGUUCAGUAACUACCCGGACGUCAUGAAUUGUGGUGUCGUAUAGUCCACCCCAGAACAUCGCUUUUGCUACUAACAACAAAGCGCCAGCACCUAAGAAAAGCAGAUGAUGUCCUAAGAUAAGACCAAGUUUAUUAGCAUCAUCCCA
rnacentral:antisense_RNA from 13 species